rnacentral:rRNA from 1 species
GGGUGAGUAACGCGUGAGAAUCUGGCUCCAGGUCGGGGAUAACAGUUGGAAACGACUGCUAAUACCGGAUGUGCCGAGAGGUGAAAGAUUUAUUGCCUGGAGAUGAGCUCGCGUCUGAUUAGCUAGUUGGUGGUGUAAGGGACCACCAAGGCGUCGAUCAGUAGCUGGUCUGAGAGGAUGAUCAGCCACACUGGGACUGAGACACGGCCCAGACUCCUACGGGAGGCAGCAGUGGGGAAUUUUCCGCAAUGGGCGAAAGCCUGACGGAGCAAUACCGCGUGAGGGAGGAAGGCUCUUGGGUCGUAAACCUCUUUUCUCAAGGAAGAAGAAAGUGACGGUACUUGAGGAAUAAGCAUCGGCUAACUCCGUGCCAGCAGCCGCGGUAAUACGGAGGAUGCAAGCGUUAUCCGGAAUGAUUGGGCGUAAAGGGUCUGCAGGUGGAACUGAAAGUCUGCUGUUAAAGAGUUUGGCUUAACCAAAUAAAAGCGGUGGAAACUACAGAACUAGAGUGCGGUAGGGGCAAAAGGAAUUCCUGGUGUAGCGGUGAAAUGCGUAGAUAUCAGGAAGAACACCGGUGGCGAAAGCGUUUUGCUAGACCAUAACUGACACUGAGGGACGAAAGCUAGGGGAGCGAAUGGGAUUAGAUACCCCAGUAGUCCUAGCCGUAAACGAUGGAUACUAGGCGUGGCUUGUAUCGACCCGAGCCGUGCCGGAGCUAACGCGUUAAGUAUCCCGCCUGGGGAGUACGCACGCAAGUGUGAAACUCAAAGGAAUUGACGGGGGCCCGCACAAGCGGUGGAGUAUGUGGUUUAAUUCGAUGCAACGCGAAGAACCUUACCAAGACUUGACAUCCUGCGAAUCCUGGUGAAAGCUGGGAGUGCCUUAGGGAGCGCAGAGACAGGUGGUGCAUGGCUGUCGUCAGCUCGUGUCGUGAGAUGUUGGGUUAAGUCCCGCAACGAGCGCAACCCUCGUUUUUAGUUGCCAGCAUUAAGUUGGGCACUCUAGAGAGACUGCCGGUGACAAACCGGAGGAAGGUGAGGAUGACGUCAAGUCAGCAUGCCCCUUACGUCUUGGGCUACACACGUACUACAAUGCUACGGACAGAGGGCAGCAAGCCAGGGAUGGCAAGCGAAUCCAGAAACCGUAGCUCAGUUCAGAUCGAAGGCUGCAACUCGCCUUCGUGAAGGAGGAAUCGCUAGUAAUUGCAGGUCAGCAUACUGCAGUGAAUUCGUUCCCGGGCCUUGUACACACCGCCCGUCACACCAUGGGAAGUUGGUCACGCCCGAAGUCAUUACCCCAACCGAAAGGAGGGGGAUGCCUAAGGUAGGACUGGUGACUGGGGUGAAGUCGUAACAAGGU